rnacentral:lncRNA from 1 species
AUCCAGCAUCAGGAACAAGAAUCUGUGCGUCUAAAACUUCAACACACUUUGGAUGUAAAGGUAAGGAUUUCUUUAAAUUAUAAAUAGCAGUUUAAGCAGAAUUAAAACCUUUGUUUGAUAAUCUUUUAGAUUUUCUUCAUGUACUUUACAUACACUUAAAUAUACUUUAAGCAUUAUUUGAUACUAGCAAUUAUUAAAAUCUGUGCAAACAUCCUUAUAUAUUAUAGCCAUAAUUUUUAUGUAGGAUAACAAAUGGAAACACCACAUUUUAUCCUAAGUUGAUAGUAAGCAAGUAAAAUACAAGUACCUGCCUGGGGAAUACCUAAGGGAAGAGCCUUCCACACAGAGGCAUGGAGCAAGUGCAGACUCAAAGAACUGGUGUUUGGCUUAUUUGGGAAAUAACAAAAGUGAUGUAAUCUACAUGACCAAAAUGUUUUUUAAGAACAGUAUACUUUACACUGAAAUAUGUAUCUGUUUUCAGAAGUAUACUACAAGUUGCCAACAUAUUUUAAAGUCUUUUUCUUUUUCUUCUUUGUAUGUACAGGGCGUGGUAGAGGAUCCUGGGAUAGAACCCAGGGCCUUGUACAUGUAGACAAAUGCUCUACCAGGGAGCUGCAUCCUUAGCCUUUAAAGUCUUGAUUCGGAUUUCAUCUGUGAAGAUUAAAACAAUGCAUUUUGGUUUCACAAUUCUUUAGAGUUGUAUGAAGGUACAAUUUUGCUCAUAUCUGUAUUGUUUUCCAGGAUCUUCAGGGCCCUGGAUUUACCGCAAAUCCUUCAUUGAAACCACACCUUCUCCAGACAGCAUCUGCUAUCCGUUCUCAUUCUAAUGUACCAUCUUCCCAGUCCACAGUCAGCUUCCUAUCUCAUGUAAGUAACCAAUCUUUAAUCCAUGACUCAAUAACAUAAUAUGUAAGUAACUUUAAACUGGGAAAUUUUCACUAAAAAAUAAUAAGUAGCAUUUUCAGUUACUAGGUUUUAGAUUUGUACAUUUUCCUAUAAAUCCAAUGGAGACCAUGUGAAUGAAAAUACUUUCUUCAGUAUUUGGUAUUUUCCUGGGGAAAACAGAACUGAAAUAUUCAGUGUGAAAUUAACAAUAAUGAUUAAAUUAUUUAAUAGCAUUAUAUUGAAUUCUUUAAUUAUUUCCAUUACAAGCAUUUUUAGAUUACAAAGCAAACAUUGAUAUGGCUAAAACAAGCAUCACUUCGAAUGCCAAGGGCAAGUUGAUACAUUUAAUACUCUACCAUGUUGAAAAUUAUUUACCAUAUAUUGUUUCCUCAUGAAUUUAUUUUAAGUAAACCAUUUUAUUAAUCAUAAAAUUUUUAAGCCCUUUAGUUAAAAUGUUAGUAACUUUGGAAAUUUGUUAGUUUAAAUUUAAUUUCAUGAUUUUAAAGCUCAAGAAAAAAAUAUGUACAAUGUAAAAUUUAGGUUUUGUUUCCUUGGAAGAUAUAAAUUCCUUAUAAUCACUAUUCAGCUGUAACUCUAGGUAAAUGAGACUUAUUUAAUCAAUUUUACUAAUUAAAAAUCCUGUCUAAUGUAUGGUAGCAAGAUCACCAGUACCAUUAUUAGUUGUCCUUAGUACUAGUCAUUUCAUCAGUACCGUUUAAAUCAAAAUUGUUUAUUAAUUAAAUGACUAAAAGUUGAAAUGGACUCUCAUCCAUUUAAGAUGUAUGCUCUGAUAAAUAAACUACCACAAAUAAUCUUUUACUAAGUAAUAGAAUAAUUAUAAUAAUAUUAGAGGUUGAACAUUGUCUCUCUGUCUCACUGGAGUUCAGAAGAUGGCAGGUGAAGGGCAGGAAACUGCAGCUUUUUAAGUGUUCUAAAAUUGUUUUAACUUUAAAAAAUAUGAUCAUGUUACAUUUACAAAAAUUAAAUUAACCCCCCAAAAGUAAUGAAACAAAUUAUAACAAUGAAACAAAUUAUAACAACAAAGAUCAUCCUACUAGAGAUUGUUGGGGCCAUGAAUGUAUCUUUAACUUCUUUCUGUGACCUUGGGCAAGUCUAUUAGAUAUAGCUGUUAGAUAUAUUCAUCUCUAAUAAAAAGUUUCUGGACAAGAUGAUCUCUAGGGUCAUCUAGCAUAUGUGAGGCCCUGGGUUCAGUCUCUAGCACACAACAGAGGAGAGGGGAAGGGAGGGGAGAAUUGGCAAAUUUUACCUAGCUGCUUAAUACAUCACUAUAUUUUACUAGGAAGAAUCUUGUGUUAUUCAGCUUUCCAUCACUGUGACAAAAAUACCUGAGAAAAACAACUUAAAGGAGGAAAGAUUUAUUUUUGCUCACAGUUUCAGAGGUCUCAGUCCAUAGUCAGCUGGUUCCAUUGCUUUGGGCCUGAGACAAGGCAGAAUAUAAUGGUAGAAGAGCAUGGAGAAGGGAAGCUGCUCACUUCAUGUCAGGGACAAGAUACAGUACCCAAGGGUAUGUGUUCCCAAGCACCUACUCCCUUCAACUAGCUCUCACCACCUCCCAUUAUUCCAGUCAUCUAUGAAUCUAUCAAUGGAUUAAUCCAUUGAUGAAGUCAGAGCCCUCAUGAUCCAAUCACUUUCCAAAAGCUCCACAUCUGAACACUGCUACCUCAGGGACCAAGCCCUCAACAUGUGAGCCUUUGGGAAAUAGUCCAGAUCCAGACUAUAACAGGUUUCAUUCAUCACUAAAAAAAAAGUACCAGUCAUGUGUCUGUUAAAUGGUUUGGCAUUUUUGUUUUGUUUUGUUUUGGUAGUGGGGAUUAAACCUAGGAGUGUAUCACCAGCUACAUCCUUUUUUAUUUUGGAAUGGCCUUACUAAGUUGAAAAGGCUGGUAGCCUCGAACUUGCUGUCUCCUCCUGCCUCAGCCUCCCAAGUAGCUGGUAUGUCAGGUAUAUAUCACUGUGCCCAGAUCACAUUUUUAAAUAACAAUUCUAAUAGUAAAAAUUAGCUAUACUUCUUGGGAGACUGAGACAGGAAGAUCACAAGUCUGAGAUUAGUCUAUGGCAAUGCAGUAAGAUCCUGUUAAAAAUAAUAAUAGAGAAACUGUCAAGAAUGCUUUCUGCAAUUAUAGUGCUGAGGUGUAGCUCAGUGGUAGAGUACAUGCUUAGCAUGCACAGGCCCUAGGUUCAAUCCCCAGCAUCAAAAAGAACAACAUACAUUCUUUGUUUUGUUCACUGAUGUGUCCCAAGUACCUAGAACUCACUCUCUUCAACUAGGAAAUAGUAGGUAUUCCAUUUAUUUAACGGGUGAAUGAAUUUACUAUGGAGAAUUUCUUCACAUUUCCAUUGUUUCUUCUGAUUAAGUCAGUUUUAAACUAUACUUUUGCUCUUUGGAGGUAAUUUUGUCCUGAGUGCUCUUAAGAUUCUGUUUUGGUUUAUAACAGUUGUCUUACAGCCUGCUUAGGUAUAGUCUUUGUAUCUGUCCUUAGGAUUCACUGAUUUUUCUGGAUGUGUAUAUUGAUAUGUGCAAUGAUUUUAGAAAUUUUUAUGCCUUACUUUAUUACUUUUUCUGCUCUAUUCCCUCUUUUUCUUCUGAGACCCCAGUUACACCUAUUUUUAUGUGUCCUUAUACUUUUUCCCUUUUGCCUAUCCUUUCCUCUCCCUACUUCAGUCUGAUUUUUUGUAAUUUAUUUUCCAGAUCAUUCAUUAUCUCUACACCUGAGUCCAACAUACUACUAAAGCCAUCAAAUAAGUUCUUAAUUUUACAAAUUAUCAUUUCUCAAUAUGAGAUAUCCAUAUUGAAAAACCAUAACAUGAGAUAUCCAUUUAAUUCAUUUAUUACACUUCUGUACAGAAAGUUUUUUCUUAUACUAUUAAAUAAUCAUGAUGAUCUGAACGUUUCUGUCUUCCUGAAAUUCAGUUUGAAACUUAACCCACAAGGUAUGGUAUUAAGAAGUAGGACCUUUGGGAAGUGAUUACGUCAUGAGGGCUUCACCCUCACAAAGGGGACCAGUGUUCUUUAAGAAGAGGUUCUGGGCUGGAGGAUGGAGCUCAGUGAUAGAGCGCUUGCCUAGCAUGUGUGAGGCCCUGGGUUUGAUCCCCAGCACUGCAAAAAUAAAUAAAUAAGAGAGAGAGAAAGAUUCAAGGGAACUUUUUCACCCUUUCCCCCAUGUGAGAACAUAUGGAAGGCCCCAUUUAUGAAGAACAGGCCCUCAAUCUGCUUAUCUUGGAGUUCCUAGCCUCUAAAACUGUAAGCAAUAAAUUUUUAUUUCUUAUAUGCUACCCAGUCUAUGGUAUUUUGCGAAAGCAACCCAAAUGGACUAAGAUAGUAAGUAUUUAAAAUUUUGAAAUAAUUCCAUUAUCUAAAUCUCCUCUAGGCCUAUGAACCUUGUUUCUCUUGAUUUCUAGUAUUAUUGUCUGGUUUCUUUGUUUCUCUUUUUAAUAAUUGAGUUAUAUGCACAGGAAAAAAUUAAAGAGAUAAUUUUGGUUUCUACAUAAUAUUUUUCCUUUAGAGAAUUUACAUUUGCUUUUGGCUAGUAACUAAGUGAAGAACACUCACAAUCCUAUAUCCCCUAACUCAUUAAAGGAUUGAAGUGAUUCAAAUUAAGGUUCUUAUUGCAAAGUCUGAAUUUUAAUCAAAUACCAUCCACCUCUGAUAUUAUUCCAAGUUUCCUCCCUCUAGCUUCUUGAUUCUGCUGAAAGCUCAUGGUAUUUUCUUUGUCUCUCAGCAGCUUCUUUUAGAACUGGCAAAUGUUUCUAGGAAAAGCGACCCCAAAAUUUCACUUGUCUGAAUUUUGGCCAUAAUUCUUUGCUGCUAUGGUAAGCUCUCUAGGCUGACUUUUUUUUUUUUUUUUUGUAGUCCUGGUAUUGAAUCCAAGGCUUGUACAGGCUGGACAAACAUUCUUUCACUAUGCUACACCUAUAGCUCUAGGCAGACUUAAAAAAAAUAUUUUUCUUGUUAAUCUGAACAGAAGGGUUGAUUACUGGAAACAGAAAGGUUCGAUUAUUGGAAAAACAAUUCCUGUAUUGUUAUUCCUUGUUCAUUCAAUUUUAGGUAAUACCUAUAAACUGCUGUAGAGCAUAAAAAUCUGGCUCUCCUUUAGCCUCACACACUUAUAUGCACGUGCACACAUUUCUUUUCCUUAUUUAACAUUUAAUUUCAUAAAUUUUGGUUAAAUCAUGUUGAGUGUUUACAUAUUUAUGACUUUGUUAACAGUAUUCCCUCACUGAAUUGUGAUCAUAUUUCUUUUUUUUUCUUUUGCCUUUAAAUUUAUUUUGUUUUGGCUUACAGUUCCAAAUACCUUGAACUAAUUAUCUCUCAAAUUCUCUGAAAGAGAACUGUAGUGGUCCUUUUAGUCUGAGCCAGAGAGUCAGUUAUGUCAGCAGUUCCUUUGUUGAGUGUGUAUUUUAGAGCCCUCUGUCUUCCUGCUCUCAUUUGGAUUGUGCCUCUCUAGGCCUGCUGCAUAAUUGCCUUCUUGGAUUUUCCUUCCACCAAAACCUGGAGAAUUCCCUAAUCUUUUUUUUUUUUUUUUUUUUUUUUUUUUUUUCUGUUUUCAGGUUUACUUCCUUUCUUGGUUUAUUUCUUUAUUUUGGUGAAGCAUAUAUGCCCUAACUUCCUGGUGUGAAGGAUGCAUUUCAUUAUUUUGUUUCCAAAUUGUGCCUUUAUUCUUCACUUACAUUUGAUUUGUGCUAAGAAUUUUGUUGCUCUUUUGACAUUUUUAUUCCAGAGACUUUGUAUAUGACCUGUAUUUUCUGUCUUAAAGAUUUAGGAUCUUUUCUUUACCUUCAUUUCUGCUGGAGGAAGUCUUUUUCUCCAUGUUAUACUGGAUACUUAUCAAGCUCUGUGUUGCUUAGUUCUCAGACAUUUUCAUAUUUAUUUUUGGCUUCAAGAGAAGAAUAAUAUACUCCAUUUUCUUGGCUUUCUCUUUCUAGAAAUCCUAUUAAUUAUCUAUUAAACCUCCUAGAGUGAUUCUCUAAUUUUCUUUAAUUUUGAUGCCUACUUUAUCUCAUUUUUUGUUCUCACUUUUUAAGAAAUUUUCUCAACUCUUUCUUCCAAACAUCUAUUGACUUUUUUCUUUGUGUGUAUAUAUGUCUGUGUACACACACACACACACACACACACACAGUGUACUUUUUUCUAGGAACUCUUUUUGUUGUUUAAGUCUUCAUAGCUUUUUCUGUUCUUUCAUGGAUACAAUACUUUAUUGUUUCUAUUUAAGUAUAAUAACUUCAGGGUUUUUAAAAAUAAUUUCUUCUAAAUUAUUGUUUCUUCCCAUUCAUUUUUUUCUGCUUAGAUGUCUGUGUUUCAAGUUAGACACUUUCCUUCCAUGCUCAGUGGCUGUUGGAUGUCCCUUCAUAUUUAAGAUGGUUGGGCUCUAGAAAAUCAAUUCACAGCUCUGUAAGGUUGGUAGGGUUUGUCAACUGGUAGAUGGUUAGGUAUUGCUUUUUUAUUGAGGAACCCAAAAAUUAUCUGUAGAUCUUUAUCCUUGGGGUGGUUUACUCAAGGUGAUCCCAACAACACCUCCUGUAGACUUUGAGCCAGUUGUUCCAUUUUGUAGCCCCUUCCUUACCCUGGUCCUAGGAACCUGAGGCUUGAAUUCCUGAGCUAUUUGGAAAUAUUGUGGUGCAGAGAAACUUGCUCCUUGUUGGCUAUUUUGAGCAGGCAUUUCAGGUGUUAGCUUUCUUUUUUAUUAUUAUUUUAUUGGUUCUUUUUAGUUGUACAUGACAGUAAUGACAGUAGAAUCCUUUUUUUUUUUUUUUGUACUGGGGAUUGAACUCAGAGGCACUCAAUCACUGAGCCACAUCUCCACCCUAUUUUGUAUUUUAUUUAGAAACAGGGUCUCACUGAGUUGCUUAGUGCUUCAAGGUUGCUGCGGCUGGCUUUGAACUCGUGAUCCUCCUGCCUCAGCCUCCAGAGCCACUGGGAUUAAAGGCGUGUGCCAUCAUGCCUGGCUAGAAUCCAUGUUGAUGUAAUUAUACAAGCAUGGAAUAUAUCUUAUUCUAAUUCACAUUCCUACCCCCUGCUCCUUCCCCUUCCCAUUCCUACCCACUGCUCCCUUCCCUCUAUUGAUCUCUCUGCCAUUUACCCAUAGUUUCUUUUUUUAAAAUUAAUUUCCUGUGGAUGUACACUAUGAUGAGAUUCGCUGAAAAAACUAGGAAUGGAACCAUCAUUUGACCCAGUUAUCCCACUCCUCAGUAUAUAGCCAAAGGAUUUAAAAUCAGGUUUUAGCUUUCUUUGUUUUGCUAAAUCAACUACAAAUUACCAAUUUGCUUUCUAGCUCCGCCCCCCCACAAUGUUGCCAUUACUCAGUGAUCUCUUUUCCUUUCAUCUUUAUUCUUCUUAAUUUCUUUAAUGUAUUUUAGUGGAGGGCUUCAAAUAGAGCACAAAUAAAUGCCAGUGUGUCUUGUUCAGAAGUAGGUCAUUGCUGUUUGCAUUGUUCUUCAUUGCCCCUUCAUUUAUCUUUUAUCUUUAUUUUAGUCCUUUUACUUCAUGAUUCUUUUUUUUUUUUUUUUUUUUUACUUCAUGAUUCUAAUAGUAACUGAGAUUUACUGAACACUCAUGUACCCGGCACUGUGCAACGUACUUUAUAGAUUAGCCUCCUUAUUCCCCACAAUAUUUACAUGAGGUAGAUGCUAUCAUUAUAAUACCUGUUUUACAGACAAAGAAACUGAGAUUUGAGGAGCUAGGUGACAUAGAGACUUCAGUCAACAAAAACACAGUUGAAUCAAGACUUAACCCAGACAUCGUGAGUCUAGAACUUGUGUUCUUAACCAAUAUACAGUCAUGAUUCUCUAUACUAUUUUGCUAAAUGCUAUUUCAAAAAUAAUUUAAAUAGCUGUUAUGUAAAUAGAUAUUCUACCUGAACUAAUAUUGUGUUUUAUUAGGUCUUUGUAAAUGAAGAUCAUACAGUUAGAGCUUCAAAUGUGUUUACAGUAAUUCAAGAGCUUUCCCUUGUGUUAUAGGUGAGAAAGUAGGCAAACCAGGAAAGUUACAUUAUGUGAUCUGGUUCAUGCUCAGUUGCCUAGAACAUGUAUGUGUGUAUAUAUAUAUAACUGGAAGUUUUAUUAGAAGUCUUACUAGUUUAAUAUAGAAGUAUUUUAGAUUUGUUUCAGAAAGACUAUUUUAGCAUACAAAGUGAAAAUAUUUCCAUGAUGAUAUAAUUUAUUUGAUUAUAUGUCAGAUUCUAUACAUAUGCACUAUAAUUUGUACUGGCUAUACUUGAUCUUUGCCACUGGAGUACCCAUGGUGUGUACAAGAUUUUUUGCUAAAAAUCUUUAUUAUGACUUUAUUAUGACUUUUGUCCUGUUUUCUCAUUUAUUUUUAACAUACUAUAAAAAUAGUGUGUUCCAUUUUUAUUACAUUCUCUUAAAAGGAAUAUAAGUUAUGAGAGGAUGGAUUUGGUCAGAUAUUCUCAGAAUAGAAUAGUCUAAUUCAAACUAAAUGAGAUCAAGUUUUUAUAUUCAUCUUUUUCAUUUAUCUUUUGUCUUUAGAGAAUGGAGAUAGAAAUAGUCAAAAAGUGCACACUCUUCCUAAGCAUUACUUAUCUUACAUCAUCACUUAUAAAUGUGCCUGUAAUGGAUUCAAUGCCAUUAGAAUAAUAUUUGGAAGUACAUUAGAGAUAUAAUUUAGUAGUAAUUUUAGAAAUAAAUCUAACAUAAAAUGAAUUUAGAGUAAAAUAUAAGAUAUAAGAAAAUAUAAAAAUAUAGAAAAAUUAAUAGAAACACAAAAUAAACCUUAAGUCUAACAAUAGCAACAUCAGCUUAUAUUCUUCUCCUGAAGAAAAAAGGUUGUAGUUUUGCUCUGCAAGUGUAGGUUUCCUGGAAACAACCUGUAGUAUAUCCUAAUCAUCACAGACUAGAGUGCAGAGAGUAAGACUCUUUGCUGGGCUCCUUACUUCAGGAAGAGUUUAUAUUUGGUUAGUUCUUUACUAAACUGACAAGAAUCAUAUGUAAAUCAUAUUUUAGAAUUUAUUUCCCAGGUAUUUUCUAAGUUUAAAAGUAUAUUUUGCUUAUGUUAUAAAUCAAAGAUGAAUUUCAUAUGUAAUAAGCAGUAAAAUAUUUUUAAAAAAUGAACAAGCUGGGUAUAGUGGCACACACCUAAAAUCCCAGUGGCUUAGGAGGUCAAGGCAGGAGGAUCGCAGGUUCAAAGCCAGCCUCAGCAAUUUAUCAAGGCCAUAAACAAUUUAGUGAGACCCUGUCUCAAAAAAAACAAAAAGGGUGGGCGGGGGGGGGUUGAGGAUGUUUCUCAGUGGUUAAAUGCCCCUGGGUUUAAUCCCAGUACCUACCUACCAAAAAAAAAAAAAAAGAUUGUUUAGAAACAAACAUUAAAAGGAAAGAUUGAUAAUUUUGACUGUUUGACUAAAUAAAAAUUCUUAAAUCACAGACCACUAUAAACAGAAAUUAAAAAGAAACCACAAUCAAUAGCUAAAAAAUGAAUAACUGUUCAUCUAUAGAGGAAAAUAGCACACGCACUAAUAGUGUUCUAAAGAUAACACAUUCACCAAUAGUGUUAUCUAAAGUAACAAAUUCACAAAGAAAAAAAUGAAAAAAACCCAUAGAUAUGAACAAUUUUCAAACUCAUUUGUAAACAAACAAUGAAUGACCAUAUUCACAUGUUAAAUGAUAAUGGGAAGAGUAUAAUAUGAUAAGCACUCUUGGUAUCAUACCUGACUGAUCAGCAUACACAUUGAUAUGACUUUCUGAUUGUUUUUUGCUUUCAAAGCUCAUAAUUUCUUUAUUUCUUUUCUUAAUUUAGUAAACUUUAUUUUUAGGGCAGUUUUAAUUUUACAGAAAAAUUGAAUAGAAAGUACAGAGAGCUCCCAUAGAUUCCCUUGCCCACCCCCAAUACAGUUUCUCCUAUUGUUGUGGUGCAUUUGAAAUAAAUCACCAGGUCAGUCUUGAAGCAAGACAUGGGACUUUAUUCACAGAUGUGGAUCGGAAUGGCAGUAGGCAAGUUGCCUCUACAACCUUCAACCCCUUGCCAGAGGUAGGGUAUCUCUUUUAUAGCCCAAAACUACAAGUCAAAACCAUAGCAAUAUAGGAAGUGGGUCAGAAUGACCCAGUUCAAGAUACAGUACACUGCCUAAGAAAAAUGGGAAUUAAAAUGAGAACAUUUUACAAAUGCAUUUUUAAAUAAUACAUUGUAUAAGAAUAACAGAAACACUUUCAACCACCCUGCAUUGCCAAACAGGAUAUGCUUAGAAGGAGGUGGCAGAGGCAGGGUUUUCUCAGGAGAAGCAUUUCUUAUAUGAAAUGGAGUCUAAGGGUAAAAAGGAGUUUGUCUGGUCAAGGCACAUGUAAUUUGGCCCAUAACACUACUAUUAACAUAUUGCAUUGAUGUGGUAUAUUUGCUUUAAUUGACAAGCCAGUGUCGAUACAUUAUUAACUAUUGGUUUACACAGGGUUCAUUCUUUGUCUUAUAAAUUAUAUAGAUUUGGGGCUGGGAUUGUGGCUCAGCGGUAGAGCGCUCGCCUAGCAUGGGCGGGACCCAGGUUCGAUCCUCAGCACCACAUAAAAAUAAAAGCAUUGGGUUGUGUCCAUCUACACCUAAAAAAUAAAUAUUUUUAAAAAAAUUAUAUAGAUUUUCACAAAUGCCUAAAGAUAUGUAUCUCCCAUUACAGUAGCAUACAUUAGUUUCAUCACCCUAAAAAUCUCCUGUGCUAUGCUUACUCAUCCCUUCAUCCCUUUCCUUGGACUAUUGGCAACUACUGAUCUUUUGACUAUCUCCAUAGUUUUGUCUUUUCCAGAUGUCUUAUAGAUGGACUCAUAUAGCAUAUAGGCUUUUCAUAUAGUAUAUUGAGUCAUAUAUAGUAUAUUGGCUUCCCCACAUAGUAAUGUACUUUUUUGGGUUGGGAGGUACCAGGGAUUGAACUCAGGGCACUCAACCACUGAGCCACAUCCCCAGCCCUAUUUUAUACUUUAUUUAGAGACAGGCUCUCACUGAGUUGCUUAGUGCCUCACUUUUUGCUGAGGCUGGCUUUGAACUUAUGAUCCUCCUAUCUCAGCCUCUGAGCUGCUGGGAUUACAGGUGUGUGCCACCGUGCCGGGCUACUUAGCAAUAUACUUUUUUUUUUUAUUAGCUACACAUGACAGUACAAUGAUCUUGGCAAUUUUAAUAUAUUAAAAGUAUAUUAGCAAUAUACUUUUAAGGUACAUUUUCAGAUCUUUUCAUGGCUUAAUGGCUAAUUUAUUUUAAUUGCUGAAUACUAUUGAAUAGUAUGGAUAUCUUGGUUGCUUUCGAGUUUUGACAGUUAUACAUAAAGAUGUGAUAAAAGAAUCAAGUGAAAGUUUUUGUGUGGAUGUUAAGGUUUCAACUCACUUGGGCAACAGCAUAUUUAAUUUUGUAAGGAACUGCCAAACUGACUUUCAAAAUGGCUGGGGCACAGCAUUUGGUGUUAUCAGCAUUUUGCAUUUUAGCCAUUCUAAUAGGAGGUUAGUAGUAUCUUGUUGUUUUAGCAUGCAAUUCUCUAAUGAUAUAUGAUGUUGAUGUGACCAUAUUUUAAUUUGCUGAUUUGCCGUCUAUAUAUAUUUUAUGGUAAAAUUUCUGUUCAGAACUUUUGUCUAUUUUUUUUUAAAUUGUGAUAUUUGUUUCCUUAUUGAGUUUUAUAAGAUCUUUUUGUUCUGUUUUAUUUGUUUUGUCUAUUUGGGGUAUCAGUCCAUUAUCAGUUGUAUGUUUUGAAAGUGUGUGUUUUGUUUUCCUAGUCUGUGGCUUGCUUUUUUAAUCUUUUGACAUUGUCUUACCAGAGCAAAAUUUUUAAUCUUAAUGAAGCCCAACUUAUCAAUGUUUUCUUCCAUAGAUCAUGUGUUUGUAUCCCCUAUGUUAUUUUCUGGGAUUUUCAUAGUUUUACAUUUUAUACUUGGAACUAUGAUCAUUUUGAGUUACCUUUUGUGAAAGAUGUAAGAUCUGUGUCUGGAUUCAUUUUUUUCCAUGUGGAUGUUCAGUUGUUCCAGAACCAUUUGUUUAAAUAUUGUCCUGUCUCUACUGAAUUGCCUUUGCUUCCUUUUCAAAGAUAAUUGACUACAUAUUUGUGAGGCUAUUCUGGGCUCACUGUUCUCUGCCAUUGGUCUUUUUGUCUAUUAUUUGACCAAUACUAUCUUGUUUACUGUAACUUUAUGGUUUGAAUUGUGGUGCUGGGGAUUGAACUCAGGGGGCUUCAAGCAUACUAGGCAAGGACUCUGCCAUUGAGCUGAAUCCCAGCCCCUAUGGUAAAUCUUGAAGUUGUGUAGUAUCAGUUCUCUGACUUUGUUCAAUAUCAUAUUGGCUAUUCUGAGUCUUUUGCCUUUCCAUAUAAACAUUAGAAUCACUUUGCCUAUAUCCACAAAAUAACUUACUGGGAUUUUGUUUUGGGAUUGCAUUGAUUUUGUUUAUCAAGUUGGGAAGAACUGAUAUAACAAUAUUGAAUAUUCUUAUCCAUAAUAUGGAAUAUCUCUUCAUUUAUUUAAAUCUUUUGAUUUCUUACAUCAGAAUUUUAUAGUUUUCCUAUCUGGAUAGAAAGAAAUAUUGGAGGGGACUUGUCUGUGAGCUGUUUCCCUCCUCCCCUGCAGCAAGUGAAUUAUGGAGUUUCAGGGACACUUUUCCAGAGCCUGACAAGUGUUAUGUAGGGUUUGGUUUAUUAUACUUCUUGAGAGAAGUCUAUAAUGAAUAGCUUAUCUAUAGUUGGCAAAGUAAAGAGUAUUGCCUUCUUGGUGUUAUGUGACACUCUCCCCAGAGGAGGGCAAAGUUAAAAAACCUGCUUCUUAUGAACCAUAUACAGGCCCUAGAAAAGGGACAUCUUAAAAAGAAUCCUACUAAAGGGGACCAUCUAGUGGGACCACCACAAAUAUAAAAACUGCUGAGAGUUCAGGGCUGGGCAGGAGCAUGUAUAAAUAAGGCUCAGUAACCUAGUCCUCUGCUUCUAAAGUCCCCAGACAUCACACCAGGACCACUCAGGUAGGGCCUUAUUUCCCCACAAUACCUCUCUCUCCUACUCUCUCAACCUCAGAGGGGCCCAACAUAGCAGCUACCAGAGAUAGAAGGUAUAAGGUAAGAAGAAAAGAAACUUACUCCUGUUUUACUAAAACCCAAACCUAAAAUAGUCCUUUCAACUUGUUCUAUAAAUUUGCACAUCCCAAAACAAUGGGAAGCAAACACAUCAAAAUGUUAAAGGUGUUUUUCCACCUCCCUCAUGCUUUGGUGAUCAAGCAAGGGCAGAUAAGCAUAUUGCCACCACACCCAGUGAUACUGAUCAUUUGUAAUAAAUGUCAAGUACUUAUGCAUUUUAAUAAUUGCCAGAGCUUAUUAAAUAAACUUUCUAGUGGACAGAAGAUAUGAAGUCCAGGAUAGAGCUAAAGUGACUGAGGACUACAAUAGGAUUAAGUUUUCUUAAUCAAGUUUAUGAGAUGUUAUUCCACGGUGGAUAUUAUGUGUCUCAAGGUUAGAACAAGAACAAACCCAGCGAUUAGUAAAAUGGGAUAAUCUACUGGGAAAGAGAUGUUUUCACUCAUGAUUAAGAAACUGGUUCACAUCUUUAUACUUUUUAAGUGAAGACAGUCAAAUUUAAUAAUUUAAUGGAAUCUAGUUUAUGAAACUUUAGACUCAUUGUGGCAAGAUGACCAUUGGUAUACUAGAAAGACAACACUGUGACACUUUUGAGUUAGAGCUCAUGAUAUCUCCAGCUAGAUAUUGUACAUGCUCUACCAGUGAAGGUGGGAAGUGGGGAAAAGCCCAAAGAACCAAAAUUUUGCGGUGUUCAACCCUCAGAAUCAAUCUGUCCUGCAGAUGUAAAUCUACAAUGGAAUGCACGACUCAGGUAGAACAUUUCAGUGACACACUGAGUCUACAUACCCACUGUGGCAACUUCUGACUACCAUGUGGCUUCCCUUCUUGAUGUGCCUAUUAGGUAUUUCUACACUUAUUAUUAUAUUGUAAAUAUUCAUUGGAGAAUACUACAUCAGUCAAAUGUCAACUAACAGUUUGAAAAUAUUGGAUAUCUUUUUCUUCAUUAGUGAAAUGGAAAUAGAUUAAUUCAUCUGUUGUUUACUUCUAAAGUUCUGUAGCUUUAUAAAAUUAGUUUAUCUCUAUGGGCUGGGGAUAUAGCUCAGUUGGUAGAGUGUCGCCUCGCAUGCACAAGCCCUGGGUUCAAUCCCCAGACCAUAAAAAAAAAAAAUUAAUUUGUCUCUAAACAAAGUAAUAAAAUUGUUUUGCCCAGAUGUAAUUGAAAAUAUUUCAUAGCAUGCUAAGGAUGUUCAUACUACAUUGUUAAAAAUUAAUGUGUAUAAUUUGAAACCACAUAUGUAUAUAUAAAUACACUUGAAUACACAAACACACACAUAUACAUACAUAUACACAUUAAGUUAUAGUACUCUAUCAAUUAUUGAUUGAUUGUUAUUGCUUAUUCCAGAGUGGGGUAAGAUUUUUAUACCUGUGUAGUCAAUUUUAUUUUCCUCUUCUUGCUCUUCCAUAAUUUCUAUUUAAGAGCUGAUUAAUUUUAUGACAGAAAAUAACAUUCACAUCUGAAAAAAAGUCUUUGUUUUGUUCAUUGUUUUAAUUCAGCACUGCAUGAAGGCUAAUGUACUGAAGGAAGACCCAACAAGGGACCUGAAACAGCUUCUCCAAGAACUGAGAAGUGUGAUUAAUGAGGAACCAUCCUUGCCUCUGACCAAACCUGAGGAGAGUGGGAGAACACCAUCUCUCGGAGCCUUGUAUGUGCUGUAUGGGACCAAGCACACUCGGAGUAGGAAGCUCCUCUCAUGAGUGGUUUGCGAUUAAGUUGUCCACGUUACUCUCUGGGAAGCUGAGGUUUAAAUAAUUUGUAAGAGUGUCUGAAGUUAGCAGGGGGAAGCAAUAUGAAAGUGGAGGAGUUAGACAAAAAUUAACCAAAAGCAAAAAAAAAAAAAAAAGCUUGACAUCAAUAAAAAAUAAUAUAGUCAUUCAUUCAAAAAGUAGCCAGUCCAAGGUGUUACUCAAAGUUAUAUUUGUAUAGGAAUUUAUAAUUCCCAGCAUAUUUGAGAGCCAUAAUCUUAUUUGACCAUCACAACAACCAGCACCUGUUUGCUUGCAACACAUGCUCCAAUGGUGGAGCUAAAACUAGAAACUUGAGAACUGUAUAACACCCUCAAUGUAAACUAGGGAAGAACCUUCAUUCCCUAGGCAUUCAUGACAAUUAGGCAUACCCAAUUAAUAAAAGGUCAGAGCCAAAAAGGAUUUAGUACCUCACUAGUCUGUACUGUGGAAAUCAAUGAGAUUCUCAUAUUCUUUUCAAAAAUGCUUUUUAACUUUAUUGUGCAUUGUCAUUUACCCUACCUUAUCUUAAAGCAUUUUAAAAUGAUGUAUAUUU